AUUAAACGCUGGCGGCAUGCCUUACACAUGCAAGUCGAACGGCAGCACGGGAGCUUGCUCCUGGUGGCGAGUGGCGAACGGGUGAGUAAUACAUCGGAACGUACCCUGAAGUGGGGGAUAACGUAGCGAAAGUUACGCUAAUACCGCAUAUUCUGUGAGCAGGAAAGAGGGGGAUCGCAAGACCUCUUGCUUUAGGAGCGGCCGAUGUCGGAUUAGCUAGUUGGUGAGGUAAAGGCUCACCAAGGCGACGAUCCGUAGCGGGUCUGAGAGGAUGAUCCGCCACACUGGGACUGAGACACGGCCCAGACUCCUACGGGAGGCAGCAGUGGGGAAUUUUGGACAAUGGGCGCAAGCCUGAUCCAGCCAUGCCGCGUGAGUGAAG
rnacentral:rRNA from 1 species